GACGAACGCUGGCGGCGUGCUUAACACAUGCGAGUCGAACGGAAAGGCCCUGCUUUUGUGGGGUGCUCGAGUGGCGAACGGGUGAGUAACACGUGAGUAACCUGCCCUUGACUUUGGGAUAACUUCAGGAAACUGGGGCUAAUACCGGAUAGGAGCUCCUGCAGCAUGGUGGGGGUUGGAAAGUUUCGGCGGUUGGGGAUGGACUCGCGGCUUAUCAGCUUGUUGGUGGGGUAGUGGCUUACCAAGGCUUUGACGGGUAGCCGGCCUGAGAGGGUGACCGGCCACAUUGGGACUGAGAUACGGCCCAGAAUCCUACGGGAGGCAGCAGUGGGGAAUAUUGCACAAUGGGCGGAAGCCUGAUGCAGCAACGCCGCGUGCGGGAUGACGGCCUUCGGGUUGUAAACCGCUUUCGCCUGUGACGAAGCGUGAGUGACGGUAAUGGGUAAAGAAGCACCGGCUAACUACGUG
rnacentral:rRNA from 1 species